rnacentral:snRNA from 1 species
AUCACUUCUUGGCCUUUUGGCUAAGAUCAAGUGUAGUAUCAAGAGAAGUAUCUUACUUAACUCAUAAUUGCCAAGUUGAGGAAGCAACCUAA